AGAGUUUGAUCAUGGCUCAGAACGUACGCUGGCGGCACGCCUAACACAUGCAAGUCGAACGAAGUAGCAAUACUUAGUGGCAGACGGGUGAGUAACAUGUAGGUAUCUGCCCUUUGGCCUGGAAUAACACGAGGAAACUUGUGCUAAUACCGGAUAAGUCUUUACGGAGAAAGCUUUAUGCACCAUUGGAUGAGCCUGCACUUGACUAGUUUGUUGGUGGGGUAAUGGCCUACCAAGACUGUGAUCAAUAGCUGAUUUGAGAGGAUGAUCAGCCACAUUGGGACUGAGACACGGCCCAAACUCCUACGGGAGGCAGCAGUGGGGAAUCUUGCACAAUGGAGGAAACUCUGAUGCAGCGAUGCCGCGUGAGUGAAGAAGGCCCUUGGGUUGUAAAGCUCUUUCGUCGGGGAAGAAAAUGACUGUACCCGAAUAAGAAGGUCCGGCUAACUUCGUGCCAGCAGCCGCGGUAAUACGAAGGGACCUAGCGUAGUUCGGAAUUACUGGGCUUAAAGAGUUCGUAGGUGGUUGAAAAAGUUGGUGGUGAAAUCCCAGUGCUUAACUCUGGAACUGCCAUCAAAACUUUUCAGCUAGAGUAUGAUAGAGGAAAGCAGAAUUUCUAGUGUAGAGGUGAAAUUCGUAGAUAUUAGAAAGAAUACCAAUUGCGAAGGCAGCUUUCUGGAUCAUUACUGACACUGAGGAACGAAAGCAUGGGUAGCGAAGAGGAUUAGAUACCCUCGUAGUCCAUGCCGUAAACGAUGUGUGUUAGACGUUGGAAAUUUAUUUUCAGUGUCGCAGCGAAAGCGAUAAACACACCGCCUGGGGAGUACGACCGCAAGGUUAAAACUCAAAUGAAUUGACGGGGACCCGCACAAGUAGUGGAGCAUGUGGUUUAAUUCGAAGAUACGCGCAGAACCUUACCAACACUUGACAUGUUCGUCGCGACUUUAAGAGAUUAAAGUUUUCGGUUCGGCCGGACGAAACACAGGUGCUGCAUGGCUGUCGUCAGCUCGUGUCGUGAGAUGUUGGGUUAAGUCCCGCAACGAGCGCAACCCUCACUUUUAGUUGCCAUCAUUUAGUUGGGCACUCUGAAAGAACUGCCAGUGAUAAGCUGGAGGAAGGUGGGGAUGACGUCAAGUCCUCAUGGCCCUUACGUGUUGGGCUACACACGUGCUACAAUGGUAUCUACAACAGGAAGCAAAACUGCGAGGUUAAGCAAAUCCUUAAAAGAUACCUCAGUUCGGAUUGCACUCUGCAACUCGAGUGCAUGAAGCUGGAAUUACUAGUAAUCGUGGAUCAGCGUGCCACGGUGAAUGCGUUCCC
rnacentral:rRNA from 1 species